AGUUUGAUCCUGGCUCAGAUUGAACGCUGGCGGCAUGCCUUACACAUGCAAGUCGAACGGUAACAGGUCUUCGGAUGCUGACGAGUGGCGAACGGGUGAGUAAUACAUCGGAACGUGCCCGAUCGUGGGGGAUAACGGAGCGAAAGCUUUGCUAAUACCGCAUACGAUCUACGGAUGAAAGCAGGGGACCGCAAGGCCUUGCGCGGACGGAGCGGCCGAUGGCAGAUUAGGUAGUUGGUGGGAUAAAAGCUUACCAAGCCGACGAUCUGUAGCUGGUCUGAGAGGACGACCAGCCACACUGGGACUGAGACACGGCCCAGACUCCUACGGGAGGCAGCAGUGGGGAAUUUUGGACAAUGGGCGAAAGCCUGAUCCAGCCAUGCCGCGUGCAGGAUGAAGGCCUUCGGGUUGUAAACUGCUUUUGUACGGAACGAAAAGACUCCUUCUAAUAAAGGGGGUCCAUGACGGUACCGUAAGAAUAAGCACCGGCUAACUACGUGCCAGCAGCCGCGGUAAUACGUAGGGUGCAAGCGUUAAUCGGAAUUACUGGGCGUAAAGCGUGCGCAGGCGGUUAUAUAAGACAGAUGUGAAAUCCCCGGGCUCAACCUGGGAACUGCAUUUGUGACUGUAUAGCUAGAGUACGGCAGAGGGGGAUGGAAUUCCGCGUGUAGCAGUGAAAUGCGUAGAUAUGCGGAGGAACACCGAUGGCGAAGGCAAUCCCCUGGGCCUGUACUGACGCUCAUGCACGAAAGCGUGGGGAGCAAACAGGGAUUAGAUACCCUGGUAGUCCACGCCCUAAACGAUGUCAACUGGGUUGUUGGGAAUUCACUUUCUCAGUAACGAAGCUAACGCGUGAAGUUGACCGCCUGGGGAGUACGGCCGCAAGGUUGAAACUCAAAGGGAAUUGACGGGGACCCGCACAAGCGGUGGAUGAUGUGGUUUUAUUCGAUGCAACGCGAAAAACCUUUACCCACCCUUUGACAUGGUCCGGAAUCCUUUAAAAGAUAGAGGAGUGCUCGAAAGGAGAACCCGUAACACAGGUGCUGCAUGGCUGUUCGUCAGCCUCGGUGUCGUGAGAUGUUGGGUUAAGUCCCGCAAACGGAGCGGCAACCCUUGUCAUUAGGUUGCUACAUUUAGUUGGGGACAUUCUUAAUUGAAACCUGGCCGGUUGGACAAAUCCGGAAGGAGGUGGGGGGAUUGACGUCAAGGUUCCUCAUGGCCCUUAUGACGGUGGGGGCUCAUACCAACGCAGCUAUCAUACUACACAAUUGAU
rnacentral:rRNA from 1 species